rnacentral:rRNA from 1 species
UGCCCAGUGGGCCACUUUUGGUAAGCAGAACUGGCGCUGUGGGAUGAACCAAACGACGGGUUAAGGCGUCCGAUGCUAGACGCUCAUGCGAUCCCAUGAAAGGUGUUGGUUGCUCUAGACAGCAGGACGGUGGCCAUGGAAGUCGGAAUCCGCUAAGGAGUGUGUAACAACUCACCUGCCGAAGCAACUAGCCCUGAAAAUGGAUGACGCUCCAGCGUCGAGCCUAUACCCGUCCGCUGCUGGCAGAACUCCCUUGAGCAAGGAGGUUUAAGUCGCAGUGAGUAGGAGGGUCGCGGGGGAGAGCGUUGAAGGUGCCGGGCGUGAGCCCGCCUGGAGCCUCCCCCGGUGCAGAUCUUGGUGGUAGUAGCAAAUACUCAAGUGAGAACCUUGAGGACUGAAGCUGGAGAAGGGUUCC